rnacentral:snRNA from 1 species
ACACUCUAGUUUCUCUUCAGAUUGUAUAAAUUUUUCACCUUUUACUAAAGAUUUCCGUGGAGAGGAACAGGCACGAGUGUCAAGGAAUUUUUCUGAGGCUCCACCUCGGUGGGGCU